AGAGUUUGAUCCUGGCUCAGGAUGAACGCUGGCGGCGUGCUUAACACAUGCAAGUCGAACGAUCCUUCGGGAUAGUGGCGGACGGGUGAGUAACGCGUGGGAAUCUGCCCUCAGGAGGGGGAUAACGGCUGGAAACGGCCGCUAAUACCCCAUAUGCCGAGAGGUGAAAUGAAUUUCGCCUGAGGAUGAGCCCGCGUCUGAUUAGCUAGUUGGUGGGGUAAAGGCCUACCAAGGCAACGAUCAGUAGCUGGUCUGAGAGGAUGAUCAGCCACACUGGGACUGAGACACGGCCCAGACUCCUACGGGAGGCAGCAGUGGGGAAUUUUCCGCAAUGGGCGAAAGCCUGACGGAGCAACGCCGCGUGAGGGAUGAAGGCCUCUGGGCUGUAAACCUCUUUUCUCAAGGGAGAAGACCUGACGGUACUUGAGGAAUAAGCCACGGCUAAUUCCGUGCCAGCAGCCGCGGUAAUACGGGAGUGGCAAGCGUUAUCCGGAAUUAUUGGGCGUAAAGCGUCCGCAGGCGGCCUUGUAAGUCUGUUGUUAAAGCGUGGAGCUCAACUCCAUUUAAGCAAUGGAAACUACAAGGCUGGAGUGUGGUAGGGGCAGAGGGAAUUCCCGGUGUAGCGGUGAAAUGCGUAGAUAUCGGGAAGAACACCAGUGGCGAAGGCGCUCUGCUGGGCCAUAACUGACGCUCAUGGACGAAAGCCAGGGGAGCGAAAGGGAUUAGAUACCCCUGUAGUCCUGGCCGUAAACGAUGAACGCUAGGUGUCGGGGGAAUCGACCCCCUCGGUGUCGUAGCCAACGCGUUAAGUGUUCCGCCUGGGGAGUACGCACGCAAGUGUGAAACUCAAAGGAAUUGACGGGGGCCCGCACAAGCGGUGGAGUAUGUGGUUUAAUUCGAUGCAACGCGAAGAACCUUACCAGGGUUUGACAUCCUGCGAACCCCUGAGAAAUCGGGGGGUGCCUUCGGGAGCGCAGAGACAGGUGGUGCAUGGCUGUCGUCAGCUCGUGUCGUGAGAUGUUGGGUUAAGUCCCGCAACGAGCGCAACCCACGUCUUUAGUUGCCAGCAUUCAGUUGGGCACUCUAGAGAGACCGCCGGUGAUAAACCGGAGGAAGGUGUGGAUGACGUCAAGUCAUCAUGCCCCUUACAUCCUGGGCUACACACGUACUACAAUGCUACGGACAAAGGGCAGCAAGCUCGCGAGAGUUAGCAAAUCCCAUAAACCGUGGCUCAGUUCAGAUCGUAGGCUGCAACUCGCCUACGUGAAGGAGGAAUCGCUAGUAAUCGCAGGUCAGCAUACUGCGGUGAAUACGUUCCCGGGCCUUGUACACACCGCCCGUCACACCAUGGAAGUUGGCCAUGCCCGAAGUCGUUACUCCAACCCUUGUGGAGGAGGACGCCGAAGGUGGGGCUGAUGACUGGGGUGAAGUCGUAACAAGGUA
rnacentral:rRNA from 1 species